AGGCCCCAAAGUGGAAGGUCUAAUUAGACCCUAGAUGGCAAUCUGUCAGUAAAUCCACCAGGGCAUUAUCAUUUGCUGGGAUCACAUGGUCCAGAGUAUAAACAAUAAACACCGUCAGUCUACAUAGGAGAAUUAACCACCCAAGCCCUCAUACAUGGUUAUUCAAAACCAAGUUCAUCUACAUAUGCAUAGAACCUGAAUGGCACUAUAUCUAUGUGUGGAAGUAACAACCACUCUAUGCUAUUGUCAAUAGUGGAACCUACAUGGAUGUGAUGACACAUAUAAGACUAUGGUGUUACAUAUAAAUAAUCUUUAUGUUUUAUUGAAUUUAAAGUUAUGACAUGGUGACCUGUGGUUAUUAGACUGACUUUGGACUCUUUGACGGGGUAUACAGCACUCUGAAUGAUUGUUUCGGACUGCAAACUUACCAAUCUGGACCCAAACUGUGGUUCCAACUUGCCAGUGACUGACUGACACAUCUAUCUCUUCUAUCUAAUGUUUAUCUGGUCGGUAUUAGACCAUCUAUUGAUCUUGACUAUCUACUGUUUUGAACUUAGUCCAUAUAUACCUAUUUCUAUGUACCCUGGUGUGAUAUGACUAUAUACUGGUAGCCUAUUAUCUCCUCCUCGGUUCCCUGAUGAACCCCUAAAACAAGUGGGAGA